UAGGGAAUCUUCGGCAAUGGACGAAAGUCUGACCGAGCAACGCCGCGUGAGUGAAGAAGGUUUUCGGAUCGUAAAACUCUGUUGUUAGAGAAGAACAAGGACGUUAGUAACUGAACGUCCCCUGACGGUAUCUAACCAGAAAGCCACGGCUAACUACGUGCCAGCAGCCGCGGUAAUACGUAGGUGGCAAGCGUUGUCCGGAUUUAUUGGGCGUAAAGCGAGCGCAGGCGGUUUCUUAAGUCUGAUGUGAAAGCCCCCGGCUCAACCGGGGAGGGUCAUUGGAAACUGGGAGACUUGAGUGCAGAAGAGGAGAGUGGAAUUCCAUGUGUAGCGGUGACAUGCGUAGAUAUAUGGAGGAACACCAGUGGCGAAGGCGGCUCUCUGGACAUAGACUAGCGCACAGGUGCGACAGCGUGGGGAGCAAACAUG
rnacentral:rRNA from 1 species